rnacentral:rRNA from 1 species
UACGUAGGGUCCGAGCGUUGUCCGGAAUUAUUGGGCGUAAAGGGCUCGUAGGCGGUUUGUCGCGUCGGGAGUGAAAACCUCGGGCUUAACUCGGGGCUUGCUUUCGAUACGGGCAGACUGGAGGUAUGCAGGGGAGAACGGAAUUCCUGGUGUAGCGGUGAAAUGCGCAGAUAUCAGGAGGAACACCGGUGGCGAAGGCGGUUCUCUGGGCAUGACCUGACGCUGAGGAGCGAAAGUGUGGGGAGCAAACAGG